ACAUCUUCAAAUGUCCUUGACUCACUGACACUCACUUGACAGCCACGCAGCGAGGACAAUGGAACAGUAUAGUGUAAACGACAAUAAUAUCAGAAAUGGACUUUCACUAUCGCUGACGACCAUGUGGCCUUUGUAAUCCCUGUGCCCACAGCGCUGGCUAUCUUCCUGGCUGUGAUUGUACUUGUCUGCAUUGAGUCCAUCUUCAAGAAGCUUCUACGUAUUUCCCUCUGGUCAUCUGGGCCUGCUUGGUUGCCAUGGGUUUCCUUUUUAUGUUUUCUGGUGGGGUCAUCUGUCUGUGGGAUCUGAUUGUCUGCAGGGAAGCAGAACAUGACGGAGGAGAAGACUUGGAAGAAAAUCCCUCCUCUGAAGGUGCAAUCAUUGGAGAGUUAGUGGCUGGAACCGUUGUCAUUUUAUUCCAAUUAAAACCAAGACGAAAGUGUCAUCA